AAACGAAUAACAUACAAUACGUUAGUGAUGAGCAAUUACAAUCGAGCAGCAAUAUUGAUAUGUUUGCCCCUAAGUGGGAAAGACAUUAUAAAAGCAUCAAUAUUUUAGCAGUGUGCUCACAGUCGAAUGGUAACAUUAAUGUCAACCAACAUUUCUGUUUUACGUGGAUAUCGUUACUGCUGUGAAAAUGAGUAUAGUGUUCAUAAUUGUCGCAUUAAUACCUUUAGUAUGUUUUGCUGUAAGUUACUUUAUAAUAAAUUUCCGACGUCAACAACUUUAUAUGAAAGCAGUAAAUGCUUUCUCAAGACCAUAAGCAUUUUCAGUCAUUGGAAGUGCUCAUUAGCUUCUGAGAGCAAGCACUGACAAACAAACUUAGAUAUUUCUACGCUGUAAUUUUAUUGUUAAUUAUUUUUACUUAAUGAUUACUAAUGUGAUGUAUGGAUUUAUAAUAACAAAUAAAAACUGACAGAGAAAGGCUUGAUAUUCUGUUGGAAGCAUUUUAUGAAGAAAAAUUAACUCAGCAAGACGCACCAUCAUGUAUUUACAAUGUUAUUCUCUGCCAAUGACACAGCUGGUGCAGUUAAUUUUGUAAUCUUUAUGCUAGCAAAUUUUAAAUACAGGAGAAAUUACUUUACCAAAAAGGACUGAUAUCAUCAUAUCUAUGUUACAUAUGCACCAAACUAAAAAACAUUGGUCAAAUCUUUUGGUGUUUGAUCCAGAUAAAUUUCUCUCAGAAAAAGAAGUGGAUUGUUCGAGAUAUUUUUAUGCCGUUUAGUAACGAACUUAGAAAUUGUAUAGUGAGCAAAUACGAGCAGUAUGUAACAAUAUGCUAACUGAUUUUAUUACAAUUUCAUUACAAAUUUCGAAACAUUGUUCUCAUUAAUCUUACAAGUUUGUCUGUCUGCAUGAUAGAGUUUGCUCAAAAACGCCAAUCUUGAAUGCCGAAUUAAAAAACGAUAUAUCAAAAAGUAUAAAUGAUUCAUAUUAUUUAAUUAUAUGUAUUUCACGCGAUAAAGUUUGCUCGAUAAACCAAUCUGUUAUCCGU